rnacentral:tRNA from 1 species
GGGCGUAUGGUCUAGAGGUAUGAUUCCUGCUUUGGGUAAACCGUGCAGGAGGUCCCCGGUUCAAUCCCGGGUGCGCCCC